UACGGGGGGGGCAAGCGUUGUUCGGAAUUACUGGGCGUAAAGGGCUCGUAGGUGGCCAACUAAGUCGGACGUGAAAUCCCUCAGCUUAACUGGGGAACUGCGUCCGAUACUGGAUGGCUUGAGUUUGGGAGAGGGAUGCGGAAUUCCAGGUGUAGCGGUGAAAUGCGCAGAUAUCGAGGAGGAACACCGGUGGCGAAGGCGGGUCUCUGGGCCGAUGACUGACGCUGAGGAGCGAAAGCGUGGGGAGCGAAGCAGG
rnacentral:rRNA from 1 species